UGGGGAUGGGCCCGCGUCCGAUUAGCUAGUUGGUGGGGUAACGGCCUACCAAGGCUGCGAUCGGUAGCUGGUCUGAGAGGAUGAUCAGCCAGACUGGGACUGAGACACGGCCCAGACUCCUACGGGAGGCAGCAGCUAGGAAUCUUGCGCAAUGGGCGAAAGCCUGACGCAGCGACGCCGCGUGGGGGACGACGGUCUUCGGAUUGUAAACCCCUUUUGGGUGGGAAGAGCAAGGACGGUACCACCCGAAGAAGCCCCGGCUAACUACGUGCCAGCGGCCGCGGUAAUACGUAGGGGGCGAGCGUUGUCCGGAUUUACUGGGCGUAAAGAGCGCGUAGGCGGUUGGGUAGGUUGGUUGUGAAAGGUGCGGGCUUAACCCGCAUAGGUCAACCAAAACCGUCCGACUCUGAGGACAGUAGAGGAAGGUGGAAUUCCGGGUGUAGUGGUGAAAUGCGUAGAGAUCCGGAGGAACACCGGCGGCGAAGGCGGCCUUCUGGGCUGGCCCUGACGCUGAGGCGCGAAAGCGUGGGGAGCGAACUGAAUUAGAUACUCAGGUAGUCCACGCCCUCAAUCAUGGACACUAGGUGUGGGGGGUAUCGACCCCUCCCGUGCCGGAGCUAACGCAGUAAGUGUCCCGCCUG
rnacentral:rRNA from 1 species